rnacentral:rRNA from 1 species
UCGAGAAUUUUUCUCAAUGGGCGAAAGCCUGAAGGAGCGACGCCGCGUGGGGGAUGAAUGGCUUCGGCCCGUAAACCCCUGUCAUUUGCGAACAAUGUGUACUAUUUAAAAGAUGGUGCAUUGAUAGUAGCAGAAGAGGAAGGGACGGCUAACUCUGUGCCAGCAGCCGCGGUAAUACAGAGGUCCCAAGCGUUGUUCGGAUUCACUGGGCGUAAAGGGUGCGUAGGUGGCGAGGUAAGUCGGAUGUGAAAUCUCCAAGCUCAACUUGGAAAUGGCAUUGGAAACUACCUGGCUUGAGGUUUGGAGGGGGGACUGGAAUUCUCGGUGUAGCAGUGAAAUGCGUAGAUAUCGAGAGGAACACCAGUGGCGAAGGCGAGUCCCUGGACAACACCUGACACUGAGGCACGAAAGCUAGGGGAGCAAACAG